AAUCGAAGCAGUGAACUUAAGCCCCAGUAAACGGCGGCCGUAACUAUAACGGUCCUAAGGUAGCGAAAUUCCUUGUCGGGUAAGUUCCGACCCGCACGAAAGGCGUAACGAUUUGGGCACUGUCUCAACAACAGACUCGGUGAAAUUGUAAUUCCGGUGAAGAUGCCGGAUACCUGCGACAGGACGGAAAGACCCCAUGGAGCUUUACUGUAGCUUGACAUUG
rnacentral:rRNA from 1 species